UUAUAACUAAAAGAAAUUAUUAGUUUGUCUUGUCUUGUUUCCAGAACAAUCUUCAGCACUUCUCGAACCUCUCCUUCUUCUUCUGUCCUGCGGCGAAAAGAUGAGUAGCCGAUGGAAUCGUACGAUCUACGUUGGGAAUCUCCCUGGAGAUAUUCGCAUGCGUGAGCUUGAAGAUCUCUUUUACAAGUACGGACCAAUUGUGGACAUUGACUUGAAGAUUCCACCGAGACCCCCUGGUUAUGCCUUUGUCGAGUUCGAAGAUCCUCGUGAUGCAGACGAUGCUAUCUAUGGCCGUGAUGGAUAUGACUUUGCUGGCUGUCGACUUAGAGUUGAGAUUGCACAUGGUGGUCGUAGAGGUUCAUCAUCAGUUGAUAGGUACAGCAGCAGCUACAGUGGCAGCCGUGCACCUUCAAGACGCUCCGACUUUCGUGUGCUUGUGACUGGAUUACCGCCAUCUGCUUCGUGGCAGGACCUGAAGGAUCACAUGCGCAAAGCUGGAGAUGUCUGCUUUUCUGAAGUUUUUCGUGACCGUGGAGGCAUGUCUGGGGUUGUUGAUUAUAGCAACUAUGAUGAUAUGAAGUACGCGUUAAGGAAGCUCGAUGACUCUGAAUUUCGAAAUGCUUUUUCUAAAGCUUACAUACGGGUGAGAGAAUAUGAGUCGAGGAGUGUGAGUCGCAGCCCGGAUUAUUCCAGAAGCAGGAGUCGGAGCCGUGGUCGAAGCUAUAGCUAUAGUAGCAGGAGCAGGAGUGUGUCACCUGCUAGAUCCGUUACCCCGCGGUCACGGUCCCUUACUCGCUCUCGUUCGCCACAUAGCUCUGUUUCUAGAUCUGGCUCACUGCUGCGAGCUGGGGAUUGGAUCUUAGGGACUUGAUGGGUCAUCUAGAUGGAUUGUUGGAACAAAGCCGGAUUAGCAUGAACUUGAACUUCUAUUUUUGGUCUGGUCUGGUACUCAGCGCGUGCUGUAGGAUCUGAUCACAGCGUUUUGGACUAUGAUACGCCAAUAUAUUAUCUGAUUUGACAAUGCUGUGUUGUGUUCUUUUUUAGGCCAGAACUUAAGUCCCGAGAUCAGUUGGGAGAUUGUUAGUGAAUUGCUUUUUCAUCCGACACUUACAUGGGUUUUUUUUGUCCUGCUGCAGGUCGCCAUCAAAAUCAAGAUCAAGAUCCAAUUCUCCUGUUUCACCCGUGAGAUCUGAUUGAAAAAAACUGGCUGUACCCGAAUCAGUAUCAUGCUUCUCAGGGUCCACUGCUAAUUGAAUCUGAUUCGGUCGGAGCUGAGUUUAUUCUACUGGUCUUCUCGUAUAGGAAGACCAAAUAUGUCUUUCUAGCUUUAGUUGUGAACAUGGAAUUGCUAUGUUAUUGUGUCAUUAACAAGCCAGGAACUCUGUGUCGGCUGCAUAUUAGACGUUGUGUUGGGUGUUUUUUUUUCUUUCAGGUUUCUCCAUACAUAUAUUAUUACAUUACAACUAUUAUUGGACCUGUGGUGUCUUUUAAGAUUCUCUUUAACUAUGCUA